GUGGCAGAGUGACAAGGAGUUCAUGGUGAUGAUCAACUCGAGUCUUGAAAUGUUGGGUUAAGUCUCUCAACGAGCGCAACCCUUGAUGUGAGUUGCCAGCAUUCAGUUGGGCAAUCUAAGGUGACUGCCGGUGACAAACCGGAGGAAGGUGGGGAUGACGUCAAAUGCAUCAUGCCCGUUAUGACCUGGGCUACACACGUGCUACAAUGGGCAGAACAAAGGGCAGCGAAGCCGCGAGGUUAAGCCAAUUCCACAAAUCUGUUCUCAGUUCGGAUCGCAGUCUGCAACUCGACUGCGUGAAGCUGGAAUCGCUAGUAAUCGCGGAUCAGCAUGCCGCGGUGAAUACGUUCCCGGGCCUUGUACACACCGCCCGUCACACCACGAGAGUUUGUAACACCUGAAGUACGGUGAGGUAACCUUUUGGAGCCAGCCGCCGAAGGUGGGACAGAUGAAUUGGGGAAGUCUCCCCUUGAAGACCUU
rnacentral:rRNA from 1 species